AGGGGAGAGAGAGGGGGAGAGAGGGGAGGGGGGGGGAAGAGAGAGAGAGAGACCCAAAAAAUGAAUGCGUUUAAACGGGAAGCCUAGCAGAGCAAUGUUUCCGAAAGGGGGAUCUGCGCGAAUGUCUGUAUAUAGUGAACUUUGACACUACUAUUGAAACUGACACGUUUCUAUGGAGAUCGCUGCCUUAUAUGGAGCUCGUGUCAAGGAGCCAAGAGAAGGGCUGCUGGCAACUGAUAAUCAAAGGCGACUGACUGGUCAGAGCCCUGAAUUGGGGGGAGAGAAAAUGGGAGGCUAAGGUUAGCCAAGCCUCCUUCACUCCAUUGGUUACCCCCCCAGCGCUUCCCCCCCCCCCCCUUUUUUUUAAUUUUUUUUUUUUUUUAUUCUCCGCUACCUACUGACUGGGAUGGGGAAGGGAGGGGAGGAGAGAGGGGGGAGUGAGGGUAGAGGGAGGGAGGGAGGGAGAGGGGAUUCUUCUGACAAGCACAAUUUACAUUGAGAUCGCCCUGCGCUGCUAUUUACUUUGAGACCCUGAUUAGUAUGGGUCGUCUACGGUCUCUCUCCCCCCACACACCCCCCCCCUACCCCAGCACACACAUCGACAGAGGAGGAUGCAUUGCAAUAGGCAGAAAGGGGGAAUUAAAAGGGACGAUGUGGGCUCCCCGCGAAAAGUUGCAAACCGCACCGGAGAGAAGAAACCCCUUCUACGCGAUUUCUGUCCCUCCUUUCUCACGAACCUCCUCCCUCUUUGGCCAGAGGUCUGAAUUCGCUUUGGGGUCGGAAGACUGCGUGUGGCAAAGAAGAAACAAACCGUAAAAAGAAAAAAAAACCCAAACAAAAAACAACCCCCCAAACCACUACCACCCCCUCACCCACAGCUCGACCCCCUGCUGCUAUCCUCUUAGCUCCCAUAAAAGUUUAUAAUCAGCUCUGAAAUCUGAGGCUGGGAGCCGGCUGGAGAGGAGAAUCCUUCAUCAUUUCUGAGAUCAGAAUAAACGCUUGAUUUUGUCCCGAAAUAAUGAAGAGAUUUUCAAUGA